UAGCCAUGUACAUUUUGGGUAUCCAUUGUGUUAGGUUCGGGUAUUUUGGAUAUCGGUAGUUUGGAUAAGAUGGUAAAAUUUACUGCUUGGCUCAUUUUUGGUUUGAUUCACGUUAGGUUCGGUUUGAAUAGUAAAACUAAGUAUCAUAAUUUAUCCGGAAAAAAUUCGGUUUUCAUAUGGUUCUGGUUCAAGUUUGGUUAUGUCGGGUAGUUUGAGUAAUCCAAGUUAAAUAUUGAUUAUUUUGAGUAAAAUAUCAAAUAAUUAAGAUGAUUUAGAUAAAAAUCUUGGAUAUUUCGAAUUAUUUUGGAUAUUUCGGAUAAAAAUAUUGGGAUACUUUCGAAUAGUUCAGAUACUUUGCAAUAAUUUAGUUUUUUUCAAAUACUUUCGGAUACUUUUAACAUAUUUUUAAAUUAUAAAUAUAUAUUUAGUUAUGUUAUAUAUAUAAUUAAUAUUUUUUAUAUUCAGGUAUCUUUCGAUUCUCGGUUCGGUUUAAUUAUUUUAGAUAUAGAAAUAUAUAAACUAUUUGAGUAUUUGAGUGUUUCUAUCAAUUUUAAGAAUUUUGGUUUGGUUUGGUUUAUAUUCCAGUUUUUUUUGCCCAUGACCUACCUUUGACCAUAAAAAUUUAAUAGCAGUAAUAAUUAAUUAUUUGCUACUAUUGUUUUCUAUUUUCACGGUUUAAUGCAGCAAUUAAUAAAUGGUUUAAAACCUUCCAACGAGAAUUUCUCACGCGUUUAACCACAAGGGCGUUUUGGUCAUUCAUCAACCAAGUUGAUUGCUGUCUGUAAAAAUUUAGACCGUUGCGGUCUGCAAUUUUUUUUAACUUUCUUACCUUUUAGCAGUCUCUGGUCUUUUUCUAAAGCAGGUAUCUGACGUGGUAGAGACGACAACAUGGGAUGUUACUUCAUGCGACUUGUGUGUCUCCGUGUCUUUUUCUCACUUUUUAUGUAUGGCAUUAGUAUUAAAUUAAUUAAUUUCCCCUUUCUUAACAUGACAUUAAUUAAAAUUAAUUUAUUAAAGCUUAUAUUUGUCCUGUUUUAAUUUUCUAAUAGUAAAAAUUUAUCUUUUUCACUGCAUAUAUUCACGUGAGUGUUAAACCAGAGAAAACAAAGUGCCUUUAAUUUUUUUGUUCUUUUAACGUGGACGGUGUUUGGCCUUUUUCAAGAAAAUGAAUAGUACUUACAUUUUUCUACAAAGAAAAUGAUGAUAUUUGAAUUUCUAAUGGGGUUUAGAGAAGUAAGGAUGUUGAAACACGGCAUUGGAGGAAGAAAAUAUUACGUAAAAUUAAAUGGUGAAAA
rnacentral:lncRNA from 1 species